rnacentral:lncRNA from 1 species
GACUAAGAUGCAAUCUAGGGGCUGGACCAGAGACUGACGUGAGUGACAUAGCAGUGAAGAUGCAUGGCUCAGUGCUUGGCUGUCUCCCAGGGAACGCAUCACCUCCAGAGUGGCUCUUCAACCUCAGAGAUAAGAAGACAAAAGAAGCCUAGGACUUUUAUGGACCAAACAGCACUGAGGC